UACGAAGGGGGCUAGCGUUGCUCGGAAUCACUGGACGUAAAGGGUGCGUAGGCGGGGCUUUAAGUCAGGGGUGAAAUCCUGGAGCUCAACUCCAGAACUGCCUUUGAUACUGAGGAUCUUGAGUUCGGGAGAGGUGAGUGGAACUGCGAGUGUAGAGGUGAAAUUCGUAGAUAUUGGGAAGAACACCGGUGGCGAAGGCGGCUCUCUGGACCGAUACUGACGCUGAGGCGCGAAAGCGUGGGGAGCAAACAGG
rnacentral:rRNA from 1 species